rnacentral:rRNA from 1 species
UACGUAGGGGGCAAGCGUUGUCCGGAAUCAUUGGGCGUAAAGAGCGUGUAGGCGGCCCGGUAAGUCCGCCGUGAAAGUCCAGGGCUCAACCCUGGAAUGCCGGUGGAUACUGUCGGGCUAGAGUCCGGAAGGGGCGAGUGGAAUUCCUGGUGUAGCGGUGAAAUGCGCAGAUAUUGGGAGGAACACCAGUGGCGAAGGCGGCUCACUGGACCGGAACUGACGCUGAGGCGCGAAAGCGUGGGGAGCAAACAGG